GUGCACGUAGCUCAAUUGGAUGAGCACCGCCUUUUGUGUGGGUGGACGCGGGUUCAAUUCCCGCCGUGUCCU
rfam:Phytophthora megakarya strain zdho120 scaffold_805, whole genome shotgun sequence.